rnacentral:rRNA from 1 species
UUUGAGGAAGUAAAAGUCGUAACAAGGUUUCCGUAGGUGAACCUGCGGAAGGAUCAUUAACGAAAUGUUUGUCGAGAGGGGUUGUAGCUGGCCUCACUUGGCAUGUGCACGCCCGGAUCGCGAACUUCACCCUUCACACCUGUGCACAAUCCCGCAGCCUUUGCGAUGCUGAUGAAAUGGAUUUGCUUCCAAUUUGUAUGCGUCCUUGGCUUGCGAGCUUUUUAUCACACACACUCUUUGUCAAGUAUCAGAAUGUCUCAGCGUGUAGAAGCGCGAAACAAAUACAACUUUCAGCAACGGAUCUCUUGGCUCUCGCAUCGAUGAAGAACGCAGCGAAAUGCGAUAAGUAAUGUGAAUUGCAGAAUUCAGUGAAUCAUCGAAUCUUUGAACGCACCUUGCGCUCCUUGGUAUUCCGAGGAGCAUGCCUGUUUGAGUGUCAUGAAAUUAUCAACUGCCUUUGAUGGGCUUUUGCUCUUAAAAGGGUGAGGUUGGAUUUGGAGGAUUGUUUUGCUGGCGGCUCUUCAACGAGCUUUGUUGGCUCCUCUGGAAUGCAUGAGCCUUCCUGUGCGCCGGCGAAGCGACUCUACGAUGUGAUAACCAUCUCCGUCGUACGUCGCGUUUGCUUUGGGCACGAACGAAGCGCGGAUCGCGUCUUUCAGGAUGCGUCCUUGACAAAUUUGACCUCAAAUCAGGUAGGACUACCCGCUGAACUUAAGCAUAUCAAUAAGCGGAGGAAAAGAAACUAACAAGGAUUCCCCUAGUAACUGCGAGUGAAGCGGGAAGAGCUCAAAUUUAAAAUCUGGCGCGCCUCAGGUCGCCCGAGUUGUAGUCUGGAGAAGCGUUUUCCGCGCUGGACCGUGUACAAGUCCCUUGGAAUAGGGCGUCGUAGAGGGUGAGAAUCCCGUCUUUGACACGGACUGCCAGUGCUCUGUGAUGCGCUCUCAAAGAGUCGAGUUGUUUGGGAAUGCAGCUCAAAAUGGGUGGUAAAUUCCAUCUAAAGCUAAAUAUAGGCGAGAGACCGAUAGCGAACAAGUACCGUGAGGGAAAGAUGAAAAGCACUUUGGAAAGAGAGUUAAACAGUACGUGAAAUUGCUGAAAGGGAAACGCUUGAAGUCAGUCGCGUCCGCCAGGACUCAGCCUUCGGGUGCAAUUUCUGGUGGAUGGGCCAGCAUCGAUUUUGACCGUUGGAGAAAGUUGGAGGGAAUGUGGCACCUUCGGGUGUGUUAUAGCCCUCUGUCGCAUACAACGGUUGGGAUUGAGGAUCGCAGCGCGCCUUNGUGGCCGGGGCAAUUUUGCCUACGUACGCGC